GAAGUACACCCCGACGACAAGCAAGCCU
rnacentral:sRNA from 1 species